rnacentral:lncRNA from 1 species
UUGCAAAUAACCCUCCACCUACCAAAACACGCGGGUCACGCUGCAUUUGGAUCGAGUCAUCGGGUGUCGAACGAUACGGCACUGUUUUGAAGCCAUUGUAAUGAGGCUCAAACGAUGCCGUUUCACGCUUUAAAAAACUUAAAAAAAAAACCUAAAACAACUUAAAAUCUGAUUUAUCACCCUAACAAAAAAAAAACCCUAGGUACCAACCCCUGAAGGCUGCGCCGUUCUCGCGCCUUCGACC